rnacentral:rRNA from 1 species
AACGCACCUUGCACCCUUUGGUAUUCCGAAGGGUAUGCCUGUUUGAGUGUCUUGAAACUCUCAAAUCUUGUAUUUCCUAUUUUUUUGGGAAAUGCAGGCUAUUUUGGUCUUGAGCGUUUUGCCAGUUUUAUUGUCACCGAUAUGAACUGGCUCGCUUUAAAUGAAUUAGCUGAGCUCUAUUGUAUAAACAGUCUCACACAAGCGUAAUACAUAUUUCGUUUGUUUUGUUGCUCCUUCACGGGAGCGCAAGGAUCGUUAGAACAACCAAGCUUGUGCUGCCUUAAUCUGCUCAUCGAAAGAUGUACCAUUUAACAUAUUCAUCAGACCUCAAAUCAGGUAGGACUACCCGCUGAACUUAA